CCCUUAGAUGUUCUGGGCCGCACGCGCGCUACACUGAUUCAUGCAACAAGUUUUGUCCUUGGCUGAUAGGCCUGGGUAAUCUUUGAACGUGAAUCGUGAUGGGGAUAGAUGAUUGCAAUUAUUCAUCUUCAACGAGGUAUUCCUAGUAAACGCAAGUCAUCAGCUUGCAUUGAUUACGUCCCUGCCCUUUGUACACACCGCCCGUCGCACCUACCGAUUGAAUGGUCCGGUGAAAUCUUCGGAUCUGAGAGAUGUCUGAUUAAUUUCGGACGCCUUUUGGAAAAGUUGUUUAAACCUUACCAUUUAGAGGAAGGUGAANUCGUANCA
rnacentral:rRNA from 1 species